rnacentral:tRNA from 2 species
CGGGGCGUGGCGCAGUUUGGUAGCGCGCUUGGUUCGGGACCAAGAGGCCGUGGGUUCGAAUCCCGUCGCCCCGACCA